rnacentral:rRNA from 1 species
CCUACGGGAGGCAGCAGUGAGGAAUAUUGGUCAAUGGUCGGGAGACUGAACCAGCCAAGCCGCGUGAAGGAGGAAUGUACAGAGUAUCGUAAACUUCUUUUAUAUGGGAAUAAAAACUGGGACGCAUACCCGCUUGUGUGUACCUGAUGAAUAAGCAUCGGCUAACUCCGUGCCAGCAGCCGCGGUAAUACGGAGGGUGCGAGCGUUAUCAGGAAUUAAUGGGGUUAAAGGGUGCGCAGGGGGGUUGUUAAGUCAGCUGUGAAAGCUCGGGGCUCAACCGUGAGACUGCAGUUGAAACUGGCAGGCUCGAGUAGAGGAGAGGUAUGCGGAAUGCGCGGUGUAGCGGUGAAAUGCAUAGAUAUCGCGAAGAACUCCGAUUGCGAAGGCAGCAUGCUGG